CGAACAGUAGAUUUCCUUUUUUAUACAUGGAGAUGAUUUCCGAAUUUCGUACUGCAGCUGGUUCCUGUUGAACGAUAAUCUGAAGCUUAUCAACUGUUCGUCCUGUCUGACUUCUUAAAGAAAAUGACAUUUUAAAGAAUAUAAUGUCUGGUUCUUUUACAUCGCGUCGUCGUCUAUCUCCCACGUCCACGAGAGGCAAUGCGACGGGAACCCGGCAUGCUGAUCACCGCGUCGCACCUUCGGACUGGGAACAACUUACAUCAGGAACUUCAGGUAUUUAUACGAUUCGCUGCUGUAGUGAGUCAACUGCUGACUACUGAUAAGGAGGAACUGGAGGGAAGAGGGAAAGUUCCUUGUUCGCUGUCAUCUUCCGUUUUGUCGGGCGUUUUCCGAGUCUAUUUCCCUUUGAUAUCUGCC
rnacentral:lncRNA from 1 species